GGUGGGGUGGCUGAGCGGUUGAAAGCGGCAGUCUUGAAAACUGUUGUGGGCAUUAGUCCACCGAGAGUUCGAAUCUCUCCCCCACCG
rnacentral:tRNA from 1 species